rnacentral:snoRNA from 1 species
GAGCUAGUCAAUGAGUCUGCUUCUCUGAAUGUCUUUCUGUAGAAAUUCUUUAAAAGGUGACAAUAGGAAAGCCAUGUCAUGAGCCUUAACGAUACUGAAGUCACUAAGAUCCCUGAAAAUGGCUAUAACA